UCGGGAAUUUUGUGCAAUGGGCGAAAGCCUGACCCAGCAACGCCGCGUGAAGGAUGAAGUAUUUCGGUAUGUAAACUUCGAAAGAAUAGGAAGAAUAAAUGACGGUACUAUUUAUAAGGUCCGGCUAACUACGUGCCAGCAGCCGCGGUAAUACGUAGGGACCAAGCGUUGUUCGGAUUUACUGGGCGUAAAGGGCGCGUAGGCGGCAAUUCAAGUCAUCUGUGAAAUCUCCGGGCUUAACUCGGAACGGUCAGAUGAUACUGCUUUGCUAGAGUGCAGAAGGGGCAAUCGGAAUUCUUGGUGUAGCGGUGAAAUGCGUAGAUAUCAAGAGGAACACCUGAGGUGAAGACGGGUUGCUGGGCUGACACUGACGCUGAGGCGCGAAAGCCAGGGGAGCAAACGGGAUUAGAUACCCACGUAGUCCCUGAGCGGGCUGGCAAGGCGCAU
rnacentral:rRNA from 1 species